rnacentral:lncRNA from 1 species
UCUGUAAUGGAUUCCACGCGGCUCCACCACUCUCUGACAAGUCACGACAAUGGACACCACUCCACUCUUCAUAACAAACUCCACAUGGCCCUGAACGGCCCUCUGACGCCACUACUCUCCGUAACAAACUCCGCGUGGCCCCGAACGGCCCACUACCAGGUGGUUACAGACGUCGCUGUCAAUCAGUUACGCUCUCCAUCUAUAAAAAGGGACCCCC